CCUACGGGUGGCAGCCGUGGGGAAUAUUGGACAAUGGGGGGAACCCUGAUCCAGCGACGCCGCGUGAGUGAAGAAGUAUUUCGGUAUGUAAAGCUCUAUCAGCAGGGAAGAAAGAAAUGACGGUACCUGACUAAGAAGCCCCGGCUAACUACGUGCCAGCAGCCGCGGUAAUACGUAGGGGGCAAGCGUUAUCCGGAUUUACUGGGUGUAAAGGGAGCGUAGACGGCGAUGCAAGUCUGAAGUGAAAGGCGGGGGCCCAACCCCCGGACUGCUUUGGAAACUGUAUGGCUGGAGUGCAGGAGAGGUAAGUGGAAUUCCUAGUGUAGCGGUGAAAUGCUUAGAUAUUGCGCAGAACUCCGAUUGCGAAGGCAGCAUACCGGCGGCGAUCUGACGCUGAGGCACGAAAGCGUGGGUAUCGAACAGGAUUAGAUACCCCGGUAGUC
rnacentral:rRNA from 1 species